CUCUGUGACUCCUACGGGAGGCAGCAGUGGGGAAUAUUGCACAAUGGGCGCAAGCCUGAUGCAGCCAUGCCGCGUGUGUGAAGAAGGCCUUCGGGUUGUAAAGCACUUUCAGUUGUGAGGAAGGUGGUGUCGUUAAUAGCGGCAUCAUUUGACGUUAGCAACAGAAGAAGCACCGGCUAACUCCGUGCCAGCAGCCGCGGUAAUACGGAGGGUGCGAGCGUUAAUCGGAAUUACUGGGCGUAAAGCGCAUGCAGGUGGUUUGUUAAGUCAGAUGUGAAAGCCCGGGGCUCAACCUCGGAACUGCAUUUGAAACUGGCAGACUAGAGUACUGUAGAGGGGGUAGAAUUUCAGGUGUAGCGGUGAAAUGCGUAGAGAUCUGAAGGAAUACCGGUGGCGAAGGCGGCCCCCUGGACAGAUACUGACACUCAGAUGCGAAAGCGUGGGGAGCAAACAGGAUUAGAUACCCUGUAG
rnacentral:rRNA from 1 species